rnacentral:rRNA from 1 species
AUUGAACGCUGGCGGCAGGCCUAACACAUGCAAGUCGAGCGGCAGCGGAAAGUAGCUUGCUACUUUGCCGGCGAGCGGCGGACGGGUGAGUAAUGUCUGGGAAACUGCCUGAUGGAGGGGGAUAACUACUGGAAACGGUAGCUAAUACCGCAUAACGUCGCAAGACCAAGAGGGGGACCUUCGGGCCUCUUGCCAUCAGAUGUGCCCAGAUGGGAUUAGCUAGUAGGUGGGGUAACGGCUCACCUAGGCGACGAUCCCUAGCUGGGCUGAGAGGAUGACCAGCCAAACUGGAACUGAGACACGGUCCAGACUCCUACGGGAGGCAGCAGUGGGGAAUAUUGCACAAUGGGCGCAAGCCUGAUGCAGCCAUGCCGCGUGUAUGAAGAAGGCCUUCGGGUUGUAAAGUACUUUCAGCGGGGAGGAAGGUGCUGAGGUUAAUAACCUCAGCAAUUGACGUUACCCGCAGAAGAAGCACCGGCUAACUCCGUACCAGCAGCCGCCGUAACAC